rnacentral:rRNA from 1 species
AGCUCCAAUAGCGUAUAUUAAAGUUGUUGCAGUUAAAAAGCUCGUAGUUGGAUUUCUGUUUUUAAUAUCCGGUCCGUUUCUUUGAAAUGUGUACUUUGGGUAUUGAAUUCAUUUAUUGUGAGGACCCUUGACUGGCAUUAAGUUGCUGGUUUUGUGGACUUGCAUCUUUUACUGUGAAAAAAUUAGAGUGUUUAAAGCAGGCGUUCGCUUUCGAAUACAUUAGCAUGGAAUAAUAAGAUACGACACUGGUGGUCUAUUUUGUUGGUUUGCACACCAGAGUAAUGAUUAAUAGGGACAGUUGGGGGUAUUCGUAUUCCAAUGGAAGAGGUGAAAUUCUAGGAUCAUUGGAAGACGAGCUUAGGCGAAAGCAUUUACCAUGGAUGUUUUCAUUAAUCAAGAA